rnacentral:rRNA from 1 species
UGGGGGAUAUUGCACAAUGGGCGAAAGCCUGAUGCAGCGACGCCGCGUGGGGGAUGAAGGCCUUCGGGUUGUAAACUUCUUUUGCUCUGAACAAGGCAUGCCUUUGGGGUGUGUUGAGUGUAGGGGUUGAUUAGCGCCGGCUAACUACGUGCCAGCAGCCGCGGUAAUACGUAGGGCGCGAGCGUUGUCCGGAAUUAUUGGGCGUAAAGGGCUUGUAGGUGGCUGGUUGCGUCUGUCGUGAAAGCUCAUGGCUUAACGGUGGGUUUGCGGUGGGUACGGGCUGGCUUGAGUGCAGUAGGGGAGGCUGGAAUUCCUGGUGUAGCGGUGGAAUGCGCAGAUAUCAGGAGGAAUACCGGUGGCGAAGGCGGGUCUCUGGGCUGUUACUGACGCUGAGGAGCGAAAGCGUGGGGAGCGAACAGG